UGUUCUCAGGAAAAACUGGCCUGAGCAAAGCAGCACAAAUAUGUGACAAGAAGCUUCCCAGAGGCCAGAGGACUGGGCAGGGGUUGGCUUCAGGCCCCAGGUUCUGUCCCAGCCUGAGCUCUUGACACUGGGAGAAGCGGCUGAAGGUUCUGCCUGCCACAGAGCCUGGGUUUUCACAGUGUCUGUCAGAACUCCUGGGUUCCUGUGUACUUUGAAGUCCAGGAGUUGACGUUCACUUCCACGUGGGCUCUGAUACCAUGGGAUGUAACAUCGUGAGGAAGGGUGAGUGCACUUCAAGUUCUCACAAAUCGGAGCAUGGGAAGACUGCACAUUCUCAAGGGCAGGGGGAGUACACAGCAAAUUCUUUUUUUUCUUUUUCUUUUGGUCCUGGGAAUUGAACCCAGGAGCACUUCGCUACUGAGCCACACCCCUAGCCCUUCUUAUUUUUUAUUUUAAGACAGGGUCUCGCUAAGUUGCUUAGGGACUAAACUGCUGAGGCUGGCAGGUUGCUGGGAUUAUAGUGUGUACCACCACACGUGGCCCCACAUUCUUAUUACAGCACAACAGAUUCCAUUCACAUACCAGACUCCAUGAGUGUUUGAAAUCAUUUCUGAGAUACAUAACAGAAAUACUGGAUAGGUUCUGUGAAGAGAUCAGGGCCUUGAUCAUAGAACUCCAGGCAGAGUUUUUUGGUGCCAGUUUUCAGCAGGAAUGGAGUACUGCCACUUAAAAUGGAGCCUGGGCAGUUAGUUACUCACGAUUAUUCCAAAUCCGUAAUACAAGUGCUCUUCCAAUUGCUUAAGAAAGCCCGGUGUGGUGGCACAUGCCUGUAAUCCCAGCAACUUAGUAGGCUGAGGCAGGAUCACAAAUUCAAGGCCAGCCUCAGCAACUAGUGAGGCCCUAAGCAACUGAUCAAGAUGCUGUCUCACAAUAAAAAACAAAAAGGGCUGGGGAUGUGGCUCAGUGGUUAAGUGCCCCUGGGUUCAAUCCCUUGUACCAAAAAAUAAACAACAACAAAAAAACAAUCGCUUAAUAUGCAGAGCAGUAAACUGGGCAUGGUGGUGCCGGGAGACUAAGAAAGAUGGUUCACAAAGUAAAAAUAUAAUUAGAACUUAUUAUUUUAACUGUAUUUGGUAACUAUUAUCCAAUAUCUCUCUGUCCUUCUUACCCUGGCCCCUUCCUUACCUCUAGUGACCACUAUUCUAUUCUCUUUCUAUGAAAUCUACUUUUUUAGCUCCCACCUAUGAAUGAGAGCAUCUGUGACUUUGUACUUGGUUUAUUUCACUUACAUGAUGUCCUCCAGGCUGCUGCAGAGGACAGGAUUUCAUCCUUUUUAUGGCUGAAUAAUAUCCCGUUGUGUAUGGAUGCCACAUUUUCUUUACCUGUCUGUUGCUGGACACCAACACUGACUCCAUAUCUUGGCUAUUGUUUUUACAUAUUUUUGUUUAUUGUCUUUAUUUUUAUACCAGAAUGUAAAACUCUGUGAGAAUAGACUGUCUCUCUGGGUUGCUCACUGCUAUGGCCUCAAUAAUAAGCUCAUUAUAGAGACUCAACGUUUUAGUGAAUGAAUAAAUAUAAAUAAUUUUAUCAUAAUGGGCUCAUACAAUGCAUUUUAUUUCAAAGAUAAUAUAUUUCAUUUUACUUGGAGUUGUAAAAUUUUUUUUAAGAAAGAAACUCAUAUAAAACUAAAGGCAUUUUUGGAUUGUUCACCAUGCCAGUGUGCUUCAAUUUAAAUCAAUUUCUUAGGCUCCCAGCUGAGAAAUAUGUGCAAAUUAGCAUAAACUUCCCAAAUCCACUUACCUGUUUUGGGUUUUUCUUUUUCUUUUUUUCUUCCAGUUUUGGGGGUUGAACUCAAGUGUCUGCUAUGCAUGCUAGGCAAGUACUGUCCCAUUGAGCUACAUCCCCCAGCCUUUUUUAUCUCAUUUUGAGACAGGUGUCACUAAGUUGCUAAGGCUGACCUGGAACUUACCAUCCUUCUACUUUAGUCUCCUGAAUAGCUAAGAUUAAUCUUCCUUCCUUUCUUCCUUCCUUCCUUCCUCCCUCCCUCCCUCCCUUCCUUCCUUCCUCUCUUCUCUUCUUUCUCUAUCUCCCUCUCUCUCUCUUUCUCUCUCUCUCUCAGCUGGGGAUUGAACCUAGGGGCACUUAACUACUGAGCCACAUCCCAUCCCUUUUUAUAUUUUAUUUAGAGUAGGUCCUCACUAAGUUGCUGAGGCUGGCUUUGAACUUGUGAUCCUCCUGCCUUGGCCUCCUGAGUUGCUGAGAUUACAGGCCUAUGGCCCCAAGCCCGGCUAAUUUACCCAAUAUUACUUAGAUGUUGCCUGGCACUUUUUAAGACAUGUAUAUUGUUGUAGCCUAUACCUUACAUUUAUUAGUCUUAGUUAUGUAUUGAAAUUGAUUCUCACUUUUUGAACUGUUGCAAACUAUUAAAUUUAAAUGCCUAUGGAAGAACGGUGGCAUCACAACUUUUAAAUAAAUGUAUUUCAGGAUUUUCAGAGAAG
rnacentral:lncRNA from 1 species